rnacentral:rRNA from 1 species
UACGUAGGGUGCAAGCGUUGUCCGGAAUUAUUGGGCGUAAAGAGCGUGUAGGCGGCCUGACAGGUCUGCUGUGAAAACUCGAGGCUCAACCUCGAGAUGUCGGCGGAAACCGUCUGGCUAGAGUCCGGAAGAGGAGAGUGGAAUUCCUGGUGUAGCGGUGAAAUGCGCAGAUAUCAGGAAGAACACCUAUGGCGAAGGCAGCUCUCUGGGACGGUACUGACGCUGAGACGCGAAAGCGUGGGAGCGAACAGG